rnacentral:lncRNA from 1 species
GAUAUUUCCAUUAGGCUUGGGCAGCGUGAUGAAUUACACUUCUCCACCAGAGGAUUUUUCUAUCUCAAUAUCCAUGAUUACAUGUUUAUAAGUAGAGCCUCCUGUCUCUUAAGAGCUUUGCAAAUAGUCUGUGAAGCCCUCCUCAUGUUCCUUUUAGAGAGGAGUAGUGUUGGGAAGCUGUGCUGACAUAGGGGAAGGAGCAUAGGCUUGGGAGCUGGACCUGGGGUCUCCAGUUCUGCCACAUGUGUCCUUUGGGAUCUUUGCCAGAUUAUGUAUCUUCUCUGUGUUGUGAGUUCUUUCUCUGGCAAACAGGUCAUAGUAUCUACCUUUGCAGGGUUUGUCAAUGGAAUGAGAAAUGUGCAGUGUAUACUUGGCUUACAGAUUGGUGUUAAGGUUGCAAAGACUCAAGUGAGCUGGGCCAUUUCCAUAACAUUACACCAUCACUAACAAAUGCAAAUAUAGGAGAUAUUGUUGUGAUAAGCAUUAUGUCCAGCCAUGAAAAGCAAUAUUAUUUGAUGAAUGAAAAUGUUCUUUUUUAAAAAAAUUUCUCUUUUCAACUCUUGCUUCUUGAUUGUCCCAUCCUUGAUCAAAGACAUUUUGACUCCUGAGUUUUUUGUUUGUAAACAAAGAAACAAACAAAAAUAAGUCCAAAAAAUAUAAACAAUAUAUGUCAUAUUCCAGUAUCUUCCUUAUGUGCACUUCUUGUUUGCCACUUCUGUGAAUGUCUGUCUAGGCUGCAUCACUGUCUUGAAUAUCUCACCACUUUGCCUGGCUUUGCUUACCGGUCUCACCAAAGUUCUCUCAUGCCCACCCAGUCCCUCCUCCAAAUCAUCACUCUCAUCAGUGCCUGGCUUAAUGACUUAAUUUCUUCUUAACCUCGAACGACUAAAAGAAAUGGUCCUACACUUUACUGAAUUGUCCUGUGUAGGCACACUCUAAAUCCUGGCCUUGUCACUGAGUGACUAGCAGAAAGAUGGUACUGUUGACAGAAACAGUAAGGUCAAAAGAGGAGCUGACGGGAGGAAAAAGAUAAGUGUAAUUUACAGUACAAUUAGUCUAAGCAGAGGUGACAUUCAUGGUUAGAGAUAAGGGACUAGAACUCUAGCUUGGAAAUCUCUGUUUUUGGUAAUACUAGGAGAUAAAGUUAAUUCCUUAGGUGUUCCUUCAUUCUUUAAAUGUUUAGUAAGUGUAUGCUGUUGCUAGGCACCUGGCUAAGCAGUGGGAGCAGAAAAGGGAGUGAUUUGGAAUUCUUUAAGGCAUUUACUCUCUGGAGUAAUAAAUAGGUGUGAUAUAUCUGUGUACAUAGAUCUACUUACUUUUCCAGAGCAUGAUUGCUUCAAUUUAAUAUCCAGAAUGUGAAAUGUGAUCAUUAAAUCUAGAAAGAAGGAUGGAAGCUGGGAGAUCAACAUUCUGAAAUGUAUUAGCUGGAUGAUGAAGGCACCUAGUCUGAGCCUCUUGUUUUCUCAUUUGCAAACUAAGGCUGUUAUUCAAAAUUAACUGUAUUCGGCUGAUCUCUUUUCAAUUCAAGUGGUUCUGCAAAGAUUCCAGAAACACUUGACUUUAAAUGCUUUUGAAAGAUGUAAUAAAGAUAAUAUGUACACUUAAAUGUAUUAUAUACUUAGAAUUUGCCUCAUUGGGAGAACCUCACUGUUCUUGACCCAAGCUUAUUAAUUGAAAAUUAAAGGUUACUAAUUUUACUUAGAUGCAUAGCUAAAAAAAAAGUACAUGCAGGUUAUUAAAAUAUUUUUUUUCUGUUUACUUAUUGUGUUUCAUGCAAUAUUUUCUUGUCCAACGGGUUCAGUUUUUAAAGAAGUUUCCAUCACUAGUUCACACCUCAAUACCCACUGCAAGAGUUCUAAGAAACUAGGACUCUUAUGACUCAUAUAAUAAAGGUGAUUUUUAUCUGAAUUCAUCAGAAUGGAUGGUUCUUUUUGAUUUAACAGCUGAUUGAGAUGUAAUUCAUAACAUGCAAUUCAUCCAUUUUAAAUGAACAAUUCAGUGGUUUUUUAGUGUAUUCACAGAUUUAUGCAACUAUCAUCACAGUCAAUUUUAGAAAAUUUUCACCAUGCCCAGAAGAAACCCUGUACCUCUUAAUAAGACCCCCUAAAGACCCCACUCCCCAGCCCAUUUUCAGCCCCAGGCAACUACUUACCUACUUUUUGUCCCUGUAAACUUGCCUAUUCUGGACAUUUCAUGUAAAUUGAACCAUGCAAUAAGUGAUCCUUUGUGACGGGCUUCUUUUACUUAGCAUAAUAUUCUCAAAUUCAUUUAUAUUGUAGCAAGUAUCAGGACUUCAUUUAUAUUUGUUGCUAAAUAAUAUUUCAUUUUAUUGGAAUUGCCAGGUUAUAUGUUAACUCUAGUUUAACCAUCUACGCAACUGCCAGGCUGUUUUCCAUAGCUGUGACACCACUUUGCAUUCCUAUCAACAGUGCAUAAGGAAUCUAGUUUUUCCACAUCCUCACAAAGGCUUGUUAUUUUCUGAAUUCUUGAUGAUAAUUAUCCUAGUGGAUAUGAAGUGGUAUGGUUUUGAUUUGCAUUUCCUUGAAGGUUUUGAUUUGCAUUUUCCUCAAGGUAGAAUGGAUAGUUCUUGGGGGGGAAAAAAGUCAGAGUGACAAAGAUGCAACUGAGAGAAAGUACAGAGAGAGAAAAGAAUAUCAGGGAUGGAGACAGAGUCAGAGUUGCUUUGAGAAGUGGCCAAGACAUUGGGCCUGGCCAUGCCAGUUAUUCUGGGUUAUGGCCAUGGCACAAGCCUUCAGGGUCCUUCAGGGAAAGGCAGGGCUGUGUUUGUGUGUGGCUCAUCUUCACAUACGAUAUUGCCAGCAUACAUUUGCAUCUUCAAUUUAAUCAGAAAGAUUUGGAUGUGUUUACUCCUCCUACCCACCAACUUCCCAACUCAGAGCACUCACCCCUGCUAUUCUGUCACUGAUUUUGCAUUUCCCUUCCCUUCUCCUAUUUUUUCCAUCCAUCCCCAUCCUAUCCUUAAUACAAGGAUUAACAUCUAGCCCAUCUGCUCAUCACAAGCUCUCCUGACCUUUCGGACAACACCGUAGUUCCUUUUUAACCCUUGUGCUGCACUUAGGAGGUUUGCACUGCUCAGCUUCACAUGUAAGGAUAAAAUUGUCUUGCACUGUUUGCAUUACUUUAUGUGAGUUUUCAAGUAUCCCAGUGUGUUCCUUAAAGGGAAGGAAUAGGCUUAUGCUAUUCAAUAUUGCCUAUAAACCCCAGAAACAGGGGUGCUUAAGUAAUAAUAUAGAUGCCCAGUGUACCUAGCAUUUAGUGGGUUGAAGUGUCAUUCUUCCACUUCCAUCUAAACUCUUCUUAGAAUGUCAUGAAUGUAGACAGAUUCUUGCUAGCCUUGGUAAAAAAAAUUUUUUUCACAGAAAUUCGUUCAUACAACCCAAGGGGAAGAGUUUAUUUUAUAUUUUCAGAUAAAAAAAUAUUUAUUUCCAGGUCAGAUUACAUUUACAGUUCUUAAUUUUCUUUAGGGAAUUGCUCAUUCAUAAAGGAUCUGGGAAUGCCAUCAGCGCUUGUUAUAUUUGGGGGGCUUGUUCUGUGUAUGAAAUUAUUUUUGAAACUUCUGUCUGUGUGUUGUCAAAAUCAGGUGGAUAGUAGUGACUGAAGGUGACGUUUCCCUCCAAAUGUUAGAACCCCAGGGCUAUGGCAAUGACGCAUUUCAGUUUAGAGAUUCUACCAUUGAGUUGUCCCCAAGGUUAGUCUUUUGGUACAUUGUACUCCACUUUUGUCCUUGAGUUCUCACUCCGAAAUCAGAGAUGGGCAAAGUCAAGCAAACAAGGCAAAGGUUAAUACAGGCAGGCUAAUAGGAAGCAGAUGGGAGUCGUCAGCCUGAAGCGAGGUCCCGCAAGAAGCCUUCCCUCAGAGACCCAAGGAGACUUGAACUGGAAAUUUGACCAGGAAAGGACUCCCCAAGUGACCUCGUUUCAGAGAUCUUCAGCUGAAAGGGUGGCAGAGUUCAGAGAAAGGUGAUAGGUGAUAGAAGGGUAGAGAAAGCACAAUUACCUAUGGGUUGCCUCAAACCCUCAAAUGUAUAAUAGAGCAAAUAAAGCAAAUAUGAAUGAUUUCAUGAACCUAUAUAGAUCAGUGUACAACUGGAAAGGUGACCUGAAAAGGACUACUGCAAUUCUUCACAAAAAAUAAACAAAAAAAUUCUGCGCUGGUUGAAUCCCAAUUUUAAAACUUUGCUGAAGAUUAGGGAACAAAUUUCUGAGUAACUGGAAUAUUGGAUAAAGUAAUUAUUUAGGUUUUGUUGUGACAUAGUGGAGCUUAUUGUAAAUGGUAAGCAAAUUGUAUAGUAUAGAUUUCCCUGAUUCUGAGAGCGUAUUGGGACCGUAUGUUACUGUGCCUCCCAUUUUAGGGUUAAUUUUUCAGCAGUUGCUUAGACUGCCCCUGGAAGUGGUAACUUUGGAAGGACUGACUACAAAGUGGAACCAGAGUAUGGAGGGUUGCUGGGUGGCAAGCAAGAGGGGACAACAUUUAUUGAACACCUCUUAUAUUGUGGCCAUUGUGCUGGACAGUAAUAAACAUUUCCUUUCUCACUCUUUUUCAUUGUCCCUGUGCCUUUUCUUUUAACCUGUGCUUUAAAUAUAGGAAACAGAGACCCAAGGAAGUUAAGGAACUUGACCUAGUCAUACAUCAGGUAAAUAGUAGAAACACAGGAAGAGGGUCAUUUUAAUUCCAUAGCACACUUUUUUUUUUUUUUUUUUUUUGGUAUGCUUUAAAAGAAGGUGCCUUGUAAAAGUGCCACAUAAUGCUUUUACUC